AAGUCGUAACAAGGUUUCCGUAGGUGAACCUGCGGAAGGAUCAUUCAAAAUAAAAGUGAAUUUUAUGGCACUUUUAAAAAAAUCCAUAUCCACCUUGUGUGCAAUGUAAUUUUGAAAGAGGAUUUAUUUCCUCUUUCUAAAAUCAUAUCAACUCUUUGCUUUGAACCUGUUUGUCUGAUAUAAAAAUAUUCUUGAAUAACUUAAUUCAAAAAUACAACUUUCAACAACGGAUCUCUUGGCUCUCGCAUCGAUGAAAAACGCAGCGAAAUGCGAUACGUAAUGUGAAUUGCAGAAUUCAGUGAAUCAUCGAAUCUUUGAACGCAUAUUGCGCUCUCUGGUAUUCCGGAGAGCAUGCUUGUUUGAGUAUCAGUAAACACCCUCAAGUCUUUCUUUUUUUUUAAAGGAGGAAUUGGAUUUGAGUGAUCCUAACGUGUAUAUAUUAUAUAUAUAUGGGAGGGCACUUGAAAUACAGGUGCAGCUGAACUUUCUUCUGAGCUAAAAACAUAUUUAUUUAUUCCUGCUUUGCGGCUGGAUUAUUACUUUGCUGCAGCUAAUAUAAAGGUUGAUUGUUCAAAUGCUGACUGAUUCAGGAAAUUUUUCANUAAAGCUGAAAGGCAAAACUGUAAACUCGAUCUCAAAUCAAGUAAGACUACCCGCUGAACUUA
rnacentral:misc_RNA from 1 species